rnacentral:lncRNA from 1 species
UAGAUUUCAAAAUUGUAUAUAAGUAAGUAAAUAAAUAUAAAUAAGAGUAUAUAGAAGAAUCAUGAAAGACAUUGUCUUCGAUCAAAAUGUUUAUUUUGUUACUAAAAAUAAUCGGUGCCUGAGGUCUAAUAUUUUCGCAACUGCAUGGUGAACACUUUUUUAUACAGAUGCUGAGAUAGAUUUAUUAUAUCUUUUUAUAAAACUAAAACUGUUUCAAUGGCUAUGGUUAUCAGGGUUUUAAUGCUUAGACUUAAAUUUAAACCAAACACCUGCUUUUUACCCCCUUG